rnacentral:tRNA from 1 species
GGGGUUUUGGCUUAGUAGUAGAGCAUCGGCUUGGCAUUUAGAAGGUCAGAGGUUCGAUCCCCAGCAACUCCC